rnacentral:lncRNA from 1 species
AACAUACCCCCCACCACCUCAGCUUCUAAAUUCUGGAGGUCAGAGCUCUGGAGAGUGAUAUAUGUGUUAGAAAGUUCUACCAGUUCUGCCAAGAAGACCUGUCCCUGACCAAAGACUGUCUGAAGGAGGAGCACAGUGACUUUAGGUCCAUGCUGGACCCUGAGGCUCUAUGCAAAGGGAACCUACCCUAAGACUGAUGUGGGUAAAUCACACCCAACUGAACUGUCCAUAAUGCAAUCUCAAGUGUCAGUCUGUGUGAACCAAGGCUCCUGCUGCUCCUCACUGGCUCCACCUGCAAACUGAAGAGGGACUAGAGUGAGGGAUACAGGGAGCGGGCUGAGUAUAGCAAUAUCUUCUGCUAUGAAAAAGAAGGUCCCAAAACUCAGCCACUAACUCACAUCAUUUGAACUUGGACCACUUUGCCUCUCUGUGGCUGAGCUCCCAUCUGGUCAGUGGGGCAGCACCACCUGUUCAAAU